UACGUAGGGUGCAAGCGUUAAUCGGAAUUACUGGGCGUAAAGCGUGCGCAGGCGGUGAUGUAAGACAGGUGUGAAAUCCCCGGGCUUAACCUGGGAACUGCAUUUGUGACUGCAUCGCUGGAGUGCGGCAGAGGGGGAUGGAAUUCCGCGUGUAGCAGUGAAAUGCGUAGAUAUCGUAAGGAAGACCAGUGGCGAAGGCGAAUCUCUGGACAGUUACUGACACUGAGGCACGAAGGCCAGGGGAGCAAACAGG
rnacentral:rRNA from 1 species